CAUGCCGUAAACGAUGAUUACUAGGUGUGGGGGGUCUGACCCCUUCCGUGCCGGAGUUAACACAAUAAGUAAUCCACCUGGGGAGUACGGCCGCAAGGUUGAAACUCAAAGGAAUUGACGGGGGCCCGCACAAGCAGUGGAGUAUGUGGUUUAAUUCGAAGCAACGCGAAGAACCUUACCAGGUCUUGACAUCCAACUAACGAGGCAGAGAUGCGUUAGGUGCCCUUCGGGGAAAGUUGAGACAGGUGGUGCAUGGUUGUCGUCAGCUCGUGUCGUGAGAUGUUGGGUUAAGUCCCGCAACGAGCGCAACCCUUGUGAUUAGUUGCUACGCAAGAGCACUCUAAUCAGACUGCCGUUGACAAAACG
rnacentral:rRNA from 1 species